AAAAAAUGUCUAACAAUCCGCCACCGUCGUCGCAGUUACCGCCGCCGCUGCCGCUGCUAGGUUACCCAGGAGGAACUCUCUCUUACCCUAAGCCGGAAGCUGAAUACCAUGAAAUUGUUCAAAAUUCCCAACUUUUCUGGAACAAACUUCAGAAAUUCUCCGCAUCACUGCAAACCAAGUUCCAGAUCCCUCUUGUAGCAGGAACACCACUAGAUUUACACCGUCUUUUUGUGGAGGUUACAUCUCGAGGUGGAAUAGAAAAGGUUAUUAGAGAG
rnacentral:misc_RNA from 1 species